AAUGAACGUUGGCGGCGUGGAUUAGGCAUGCAAGUCGAGCGAGAACCCGCAAGGGGGACAGCGGCAAACGGGGUAGUAAUGUGUCGGAACGUGCCCUCUGGACGGGGAUAGCGGCGGGAAACUGCCGGUAAUACCCGAUGAACUCGAGAGAGCAAAGGUGUGAUUCCGCCGGAGGAGCGGCCGACAUGGUAUUAGCUAGUUGGCGGGGUAACGGCCCACCAAGGCUGUGAUGCCUAGGGGAUGUGAGAGCAUGAUCCCCACCAUUGGGACUGAGACACUGCCCAGACACCUACGGGUGGCUGCAGUCGAGAAUCUUCGUCAAUGGGCGAAAGCCUGAACGAGCGACGCCGCGUGCGGGAUGAAGGCCCUUGGGUUGUAAACCGCUGUCGAGGGGAUGAAGGCUUGAAGGUACUCCUUCAAGUUUGACAGAGCCCUGGAGGAAGCACGGGCUAAGUUCGUG
rnacentral:rRNA from 1 species